UUAAAGUCUAACCUGCCCACUGAAAUUUUUAAAUGGCCGCAGUAUUCUAACUGUGCAAAGGUAGCAUAAUCAUUAGUCUUUUAAUUGAAGGCUGGAAUGAAUGGUUGGACGAAGUAUUAACUGUUUCAUUUUAAUUUUUUAUAGAAUUUUAUUUUUUAGUCAAAAAGCUAAAAUUUAUUUAAAAGACGAGAAGACCCUAUAAAUCUUUAUAUUUUAUUUAUUUUAAUUUUAAAGAUUAAUUUAAUUUUAAUAAAUUAAAAUAUUUUAUUGGGGUGAUAUUAAAAUUUAAAAAACUUUUAAUUUUAAAAACCAUUAAUUUAUGAGUUAUUGAUCCAUUAAUAAUGAUUAAAAAUUUAAGUUACUUUAGGGAUAACAGCGUAAUUUUUUUGGAGAGUUCAUAUCGAUAAAAAAGAUUGCGACCUCGAUGUUGGAUUAAGAUAUAAUUUUGGGUGUAGCCGUUCAAAUUUUAAGUCUGUUCGACUUUUAAAUUCUUACAUGAUCUGAGUUCAAACCGGCGUAAGCCAGGUUGGUUUCUAUCUUUAAUUAAUUAUAAUAUUUUAGUACGAAAGGACCAAAUAUUAAAAUAAUAAUAUUUUAAAAAAGAAUAUCAUUAAUAAUU
rnacentral:rRNA from 1 species